rnacentral:lncRNA from 1 species
UUCGAACGUCAAGCCCAUUAACUUAAGUUGUAUGACAACUUAAUGAAUAAUGAUUCACAAAGGCCCAAACAAUCCAAAAAUACCCCAAGGCCGGCCAUGAUGUUUAGGGUAGUGAACUUGAACUUAUUUACAAGUUUGCCACUCAAAUGAAUAAAGGUAUAAAUAUGAUUUUAUAGCCAAAAUUCAUAAGGGUUUGUUUUGGAGAAAAUUGGUGAGAACUUGUCUCUCCAUUUCUCUCUAAAGAGGCCGGCCACCUUGGGGGUGCAUCUUGCAAUCCCACUACUCCAAGGUCACUCAUUUCUUCUCCAAUCUCUCAUUGGUGAAGAGACUUAGAGGUUCUCAAUUUUGGGAACUUGGAAAAACCUAUUCUUCCAUCCAAAUCCAUAGAUUUAAGAUGUAAGGAAUGAAGGCCCUCUCUUUGGGUGAUUAGCCUUUGCUUAUGCAAAGAGGAAUCUACAAAGGUACAAUUU